rnacentral:lncRNA from 1 species
AUUGCUCUUCCCAGCCUCUGGGAUGGCAAGAGGGGAAUCACAGUUAAGAGAUUUCCAUGAGUCUUACAGGAGACUUUGAGCUCUGGGCUUUCAAACAGCGUUGAGAUGCUUUUAAACUUGGACUCUUCCAUCAUCAGGAGUACUUCUGUGUCCCGAGCAAAGCAUCCUCCGGGUAGCAAGGCUUCAGGCAUUCUCAGGAUUCUGGAGAUGAGUAGUCAUCAGUUGUCUAGGAGUAAGGUUUUAUGUGAUUCCCUCUUUCCACAUUGGCAGUUGACAUGUCAACUGGUGCUGUGUUCGCGUCUUGUUUCGGAGCCCAUACUGUUGAGAUUUCCUGGGUACAGCAUCCCUGCCAUCUCUACCGCAAGCGUCCUGAGCCUCUGGAUCUUCUGCCGUUCUGUGAUGUCCCCCCUGAAUCUUAAGUGUAGGAGUUAUAUGGACCCAACGGGAGCCAUCAAUUAGGACCACGCCGGUGCCUACAGCUGACCUGAACUGUGUGAAGACAGAGCUUCCAUGAAAUGCCCUGGAAUCACUUUGUUCCCAAGGAUCU